UGUUUGCUAGCAUAGUGGUUUGAGUUUUGGAUUAUGACUCUGGAGGUCAGGGUUCGAAUCCCAGCUUGGACAG